rnacentral:rRNA from 1 species
GUGGCGAGUGGCGAACGGGUGAGUAAUGCAUCGGAACAUACCUAUUAGUGGGGGAUAGCCCGGCGAAAGCCGGAUUAAUACCGCAUAUGCCUGAGGGUGAAAGCGGGGGACUUUAGGGCCUCGUGCUAGUAGAGUGGCCGAUGUUAGAUUAGGUAGUUGGUUAGGUAAGAGCUGACCAAGCCUACGAUCUAUAGCUGGUCUGAGAGGACGAUCAGCCACACCGGAACUGAGACACGGUCCGG